UAUUGGACAAUGGGCGCAAGCCUGAUCCAGCCAUGCCGCGUGAGUGAUGAAGGCCCUAGGGUUGUAAAGCUCUUUCGGCGGGGACGAUAAUGACGGUACCCGCAGAAGAAGCCCCGGCUAACUUCGUUCCAGCAGCCGCGGUAAUACGAAGGGGGCUAGCGUUGUUCGGAAUCACUGGGCGUAAAGCGCACGUAGGCGGAUCGUUAAGUCGGGGGUGAAAUCCCAGGGCUCAACCCUGGAACUGCCUUCGAUACUGGCGAUCUUUGAGUCCGGGAGAGGUGAGUGGAACUCCGAGUGUAGAGGUGAAAUUCGUAGAUAUUCGGAAGAACACCAGUGGCGAAGGCGGCUCACUGGCCCGGUACUGACGCUGAGGUGCGAAAGCGUGGGGAGCAAACA
rnacentral:rRNA from 1 species